UUAAUAAUUUGGAGGAGUAUAUAUCUUUAGUGGUUGAUGCAACUGUCAAGAUUGGGAUCACACGUCAAAUGGAAGCAUUUAAAGCAGGAUUCAACUAGCUUUCGUCAACUGUAGCCAAUGCUUCGUCUAAUGGGAAUGGGCCUUCGGAAUCAGCAGAUAAUGACUUGCCAAGUGUGAUGACAUGUGCUAAUUACCUGAAGCUUCCUCCUUAUUCUACCAAGGAAAUUAUGUCCAACAAGCUACUCUAUGCAAUCAAUGAGGGGGCAGGAAUCCUUUGAUUUAUCAUGAAUCUCAGGAACUAACCAAGCUGUCCCUAAAUGUUAAUAUGAUGAAUCAGGGCUUUUGAGGCUGAAUUAAUUUUUGGUUGCAUGUACUUCCCCUCUUCUCAUCUCAAAUAAUGGCAGCUGAAUCGGAUUGGUACAUUUUCAAGGU